rnacentral:rRNA from 1 species
AGCGAACGCUGGCGGCAGGCCUAACACAUGCAAGUCGAACGAACCUUUCGGGGUUAGUGGCGGACGGGUGAGUAACACGUGGGAACGUGCCUUUAGGUUCGGAAUAACUCAGGGAAACUUGUGCUAAUACCGAAUGUGCCCUUCGGGGGAAAGAUUUAUCGCCUUUAGAGCGGCCCGCGUCUGAUUAGCUAGUUGGGUGAGGUAAUGGCUCACCAAGGCGACGAGCAGUAGCUGGUCUGUGAGGAUGAUCAGCCACAUUGGGACUGAGACACGGCCCAAACUCCUACGGGAGGCAGCAGUGGGGAAUCUUGCGCAAUGGGCGAAAGCCUGACGCAGCCAUGCCGCGUGAAUGAUGAAGGUCUUAGGAUUGUAAAAUUCUUUCACCGGGGACGAUAAUGACGGUACCCGGAGAAGAAGCCCCGGCUAACUUCGUG